UUCUUGUCUUUUAAUGGUGGGAAGCCCGGCAAUGCUCUCAGAGGUCGGAGGACAGCCUAGAAAUCAGUCUCCCCAUUUUUCUGAUGGUGUCCUGAAUGCACCUGGAUGACCAGCUGCUCUGCAGCUUUCCCACAGCUAUAGGGCUUCCUCUGCAGUGAGAGCGUGUACUAGCGGAGAAGUGGAAGAAAAUCUACGAAGGCAGUGUAAGAAAUGACGAAAAUAACAUGGUUGGGCAUCCGUACAUGGCUCCUUUAGAUUGACAUGGUGAAGAUUGGUGUAAGAAGAGAGAAUAAGAAGAAAAGAGUUCCUCUCCAGUGGAUUCAGAAGAACCUCCAUAUUUACAGGUCCUUCGAGGCACAAAAUAAUAAGAAAUAGAAAAAAAUAUGUUCUUCCCCUUAAUAAAGGUCUUUAUAAUAAAA